GACGAACGCUGGCGGCGUGCUUAACACAUGCAAGUCGAACGGAAAGGCACUGCUUUUGUGGGGUGCUCGAGUGGCGAACGGGUGAGUAACACGUGAGUAACCUGCCCUUGACUUUGGGAUAACUUCAGGAAACUGGGGCUAAUACCGGAUAGGAGCUCCUGCUGCAUGGUGGGGGUUGGAAAGUUUCGGCGGUUGGGGAUGGACUCGCGGCUUAUCAGCUUGUUGGUGGGGUAGUGGCUUACCAAGGCUUUGACGGGUAGCCGGCCUGAGAGGGUGACCGGCCACAUGGGGACUGAGAUACGGCCCAGACUCCUACGGGAGGCAGCAGUGGGGAAUAUUGCACAAUGGGCGGAAGCCUGAUGCAGCAACGCCGCGUGCGGGAUGACGGCCUUCGGGUUGUAAACCGCUUUCGCCUGUGACGAAGCGUGAGUGACGGUAAUGGGUAAAGAAGCACCGGCUAACUACGUG
rnacentral:rRNA from 1 species